UCUUUUAACAGUGGAGGUCAUGCAACAUUGGAGGUCCCUGAGACAGGAAAUUGGUCCGAUAUUGGAGGUCCUGCAACAGUGUAGGUCCUGCGACAGUGAAGGAGUUGGGACAGUUAAUGUGAUUGGACAGUGGAGAUCCAGUGUCAUUUGAGGUCCUGUGACAUUAGAGGUCCAACAGUUAUAGUGUAGAUCCUGAGACAGUUGAGAUGAGUCUGCGAGAGUGGAGGUCCUGCAAAAAUAAGUGUGCUAAGACAUGGGAGAUCCUGCAACAGUGAAUGUCCCGAGACACUGGAGUUUCUGAGACAGUGGAUGUGCUUGACCAGUGGAGGUUCUCCGAGAGUGGAGGUCCAAAGCAAUGGAGGUCCUGUGAUUGCAUAAGUGCUGAGAGAGUGGCGAUCCUGUGACAGAGAAGUUCCUGUGACAGUGGUGGCCCUGAAACAGUGUAUGUGAUUCAACACUGGAGGUCCUGCAACAGUGAAGGUCCUGAUACGGUGGAUUUAUCAUGAAAUUGAAGAACCAGCAACUGUGGACUUUCUAUGCCAGUUGACAUUCUGCAAAAUUCUAGAUGCUGAGAGAAUGGAUGUGCUGCAACAGUGGAGGUCCUACAAUAGUGGAGGUCCUUCAAGAAGGGCAGUGCUAAGACACUGGAAAUCUUGCUAAAGUGGAUGUCUUUUAAGAGUUGAGUUGCUACAAGAGUGAAAGUCCUGCAAAAAUGUACAUUCUAUGCCAGGGGAGGUCCUGCAAUUUGGAGGUCCUGAGANAGUGGAGUUGCCCUGAGAGUGGAGGUUCUACCACAGAUUAGGUCCUUUGACAGUGGCUGUCAAAGUCCUUGUAAUGGAGAAAUAAUAAUGCCAGCCAGUAAUGACCAUGGCAGUGAUGAUGAUGGGUGACAACCCCAACAUCACGUGGUUUCUUCAAAUAAUUGAGACCAAAACAAUAUUAUAUCUUGUCUUGGAGCUUGUUGAAGCUCAACAGUUUUACAAAUACAUCCAAAAGUAUGGCUACCUAAAGCAGGAGAAGUCAGUAAAAUAUAUUGCAAAUAUUAGCAGUGAUGAACUACUGCCCUGGGCACACAAUAUUUCACAGGGACCUGAAACCAAAUAGCAAUUAUCUUGGUUAUUAAUGGAAAAAAACAAAAUCAUCGAAUUUCGCCUUAGUACCCGAGUUGAACCAGGGCAAAUGCUGAAGCACCACUGUGGUGCUUACACUUCUGUUGCCCCUGAACUCCUCUUUGUCAACGUUUAUGAUGGUCAACCAUCAUCAUUAUCUCUUAAUCACAGUAAACCCCAGAUAUAGGCUGACAGUCACAAACCUCAUAAUGCAACCUCGCUUCAAAGAAUGGGAGGGUUUCCCAAAUCCUAUGAGGAAAUGGUACCUCAGGCCACACCCUACAACUGUGGAAGUAAUGCAAUAUAUUCAGUUCUAA
rnacentral:sRNA from 1 species